rnacentral:rRNA from 1 species
GUGAGUGAAGAAGGUUUUCGGAUCGUAAAACUCUGUUGUCAGGGAAGAACAAGUAUGGGAGUAACUGCCCGUACCUUGACGGUACCUGGCCAGAAAGCCACGGCUAACUACGUGCCAGCAGCCGCGGUAAUACGUAGGUGGCAAGCGUUGUCCGGAAUUAUUGGGCGUAAAGCGCGCGCAGGCGGCCUUUUAAGUCUGAUGUGAAAGCCCCCGGCUCAACCGGGGAGGGUCAUUGGAAACUGGAAGGCUUGAGUGCAGAAGAGAAGAGCGGAAUUCCACGUGUAGCGGUGAAAUGCGUAGAGAUGUGGAGGAACACCAGUGGCGAAGGCGGCUCUUUGGUCUGUAACUGACGCUGAGGCGCGAAAGCGUGGGGAGCGAACAGGAUUAGAUACCCUGGUAGUCCACGCCGUAAACGAUGAGUGCUAAGUGUUGGGGGGUUUCCGCCCCUCAGUGCUGCAGCUAACGCAUUAAGCACUCCGCCUGGGGAGUACGGCCGCAAGGCUGAAACUCAAAGGAAUUGACGGGGGCCCGCACAAGCGGUGGAGCAUGUGGUUUAAUUCGAAGCAACGCGAAGAACCUUACCAGGUCUUGACAUCCCGCUGACCGCCCUGGAGACAGGGCUUCCCCUUCGGGGGCAGCGGUGACAGGUGGUGCAUGGUUGUCGUCAGCUCGUGUCGUGAGAUGUUGGGUUAAGUCCCGCAACGAG